GCUACUACUUUGCUUGUCUCCAAGCUCUGCUCUGGUGGAUGAGUCUCCAGUUGUCACAAGCAGUUUUUAAGGCCAGAGCAAAAGGUUUCCAGGUUGAAUGCCUUUGAGAACUUGAUGCAUAAAAUUUGCAUGACUCCUCACUCCUUUCUGAAUCUCUCAUUGGACUCAAGCCAGCAUGGCUCACACCACAAAGGUUAACGGCAGUGCCUCAGAUUCGGGAGAAAUCUGUACACGAAAUGCAGAGAAGAUCCUCCUAAGAGACACAUCACCAUGGGGACAACCUGCCCAAAAUGGCAUGCCAAGUGUUCAUUUCUUUUUUGAGUUAUGUGCCAAAUAGCUGAAUGAGUGAGAAUAGUAAUU
rnacentral:lncRNA from 1 species